rnacentral:rRNA from 1 species
CCUACGGGUGGCAGCAGUGAGGAAUAUUGGUCAAUGGCCGGUAGGCUGAACCAGCCAUGCCGCGUGAAGGUUAGUUCCCUAUUGGUUGUAAACUUCUUUUAUAUUGGAAUAAAAUGUUCCUCGUGUGGGUUCUUGUAUUUUCCAUAUUAAUUAGGAUCGGCUAACUCCGUUCCAGCAGCCGCGGUAAUUCGGAGGAUCCGAGCGUUAUCCGGAUUUAUUGGGUUUAAAGGGAGCGUAGGUGGAGUGUUAAGUCAGUUGUGAAAGUUUGCGGCGCAACCGUAAAAUUGCAGUUGAUACUGGCAGUCUUGAGUACAGUAGAGGUGGGCGGAAUUCGUGGUGUAGCGGUGAAAUGCUUAGAUAGCACGAAGAACUCCGAUUGCGAAGGCAGCUCACUGGACUGCAACUGACACUGAGGCUCGAAAGUGUGGGUAUCAAACAGGAUUAGAUACCCGGGUAGUC